AGCGAACGCUGGCGGCAGGCUUAACACAUGCAAGUCGAGCGGGCACUUCGGUGUCAGCGGCAGACGGGUGAGUAACACGUGGGAACGUACCCUUCGGUUCGGAAUAACGCUGGGAAACUAGCGCUAAUACCGGAUACGCCCUUUUGGGGAAAGGUUUACUGCCGAAGGAUCGGCCCGCGUCUGAUUAGCUAGUUGGUGGGGUAAUGGCCUACCAAGGCGAGGAUCAGUAGCUGGUCUGAGAGGAUGAUCAGCCACACUGGAACUGAGACACGGCCCAGACUCCUACGGGAGGCAGCAGUGGAGAAUAUUGUACAAUGGGCGCAAGCCUGACCCAGCCGUGCCGCGCGAGUGGUGAAGGCCUUAGGGUUGUAAAGCUCUUUUGUCCGAGACGAUAAUGACGGUACCGGAAGAAUAAGCCCCGGCUAACUUCGUG
rnacentral:rRNA from 1 species